AGCGCCGCGGCGCCUUUUAAGCGGUGGGGCCGCCCUCCCCCGCCACCGGAAUGCGCCCGCGCUGCGCCGGCCCGACCGGUUUUUCCGGGCCAGGCGGCUCCCGGGCCGGCUGGUCGCGCGGCGGGUCGUCCGGGGCCCCAGUACCUGCUCGGCGCGCCCGCGCGGGGGUGGCCCUGACUCACCGGCCUCCCGGCCCCGCCCGGCGCCCCCGCCUCGGGCGCACAGCCUGGGAGCCCCUGGGGGCCGCACCCGCACUGUCUCGCCUGGGACCCGGCGCCCAGACUCACUGCGGAAAGGGGGUGUGACACUGGCCGAGCUGGUGCCCAGGGCGGCCCCGGCAGCCCCACAGGCACGCCCGGCCAGCAGAAGACCAGUGUCCUCUCGGCUCAGAACCUCAGGUUGGUCCCAGGCCAGGACGCAGCUGCCAGGUUGUGAUGGACCCCCCCAGGCAUGUCCACACAUGCCACAUGUGGCUCCCUCUCACCACCACCCUGAUUAGUGAGUAGCAAAGGUUUUAUUUCCAUUUUGCAGUUGGGGAAACUGAGGCAUAGAGAGGGGCAGUGAUUUCUCGGAGGUUAAACAGUUCUCAGUGGUGGAGCUGGGACUCCACACCCGGCAUCUCUGCUGAGUCUGUAGGCCAGAGAGUCUGUGUGUGAGGUCAAGUGCGGGGGCAGAGGGACACAUCUGAGGGACACAGAGGUGUGUGACCCAGAAGAGGAACUUGGGAAUUCCUCCUCCUCACCACCACCACCACCACCAUGGAGGCCAGAAGAACCCACCUCUCCUGUCCCCGAUUCUAAGCCCUGGUCCAGCCCAAUCCAGGGCAGACCCGUCCUUACACACUGUCACUAUCUCCAGCAUCAGAGGGGACUGGUGACACAGGGGAGGAAGGUGACAAGCACAAGCACCUGUGGCUCCCAAUUGCAGCAGGAGGUAUCAAGGUGUGACCAGAAGGGGAACUUCCUAUCACGAAAGAGAAAUCGAGUUCCCUGUAGCUGUGGGUGGGGGAGCCCUGGGGGGCCCUGUCUGGGAAGUCUGAUUUUAUGAUGAAAAUGCUGGGAAAAGGUAGAUAGCUGCCUAAAUGUGGAGAUGUUUUCUGAGAUAACCCUGAGGUCCUGGUGAUUUGAGAUGGGCUGGAGGCCUCAUCCAGAGGGAAAUUACUGGGUGUGGGCCAUGCAGCUCUCCUCUGCGGAGUCUGCUCCCCCCGAGACCCCGUGGGGCUCAGGGGACUCCCCCGCGCUUAUCCAGCACUCGCUGUGCCAAGCCUGGCUCCCCUGUCCCAUGCCAGCCCCAUGCCAUGUCUCCCAGUGGCACUGCCUUUCAGAGGGGAGGAGGCUGCCCUCGUGCCAGGCAGGCUCACAGUCCAGCUCCGCCAUGUGCCAGCGUGGAACCCGGAGCACAGCCCUGGGCCUGAGCUUCCUCCUCUGUGACAUGAGAAGGAAGAUGAAGCAACACCCUCUCAGGGGUGUAGCGGACGACAAGCCAGCACAGGCAGAAAGUGAGCCUCCAGCACUGUCAUCUGCGGCUGCUCCCUCUCACAUGGUGCGGUGCGCCUGGGAGCCCAGCAGCCCUUUCGCUCCCCUGGUGCUACUCUGACUCUCCGAGGAGCUAACUUACCGGGCCAGGCUGGCCUCUCCCCAAGGAACACAAAAUGACCCCUAAACAUGUGCCCGCGACUUGCCAGAGCGUUCAGAGACGCGUGCCCAGCCCAGAAGCUGCUCACGGUAGGGCUCUGUGUCCCACAAGCACGUGGAGGAGCCCAGCCCUGGUGGGGAGCUGCCCCCACCUGUCUGGCUGGCGGAAGCUUCUCCUCGGCCAUCAGUGACCCACCUGGGGAAACCAGCUCAGCAUGUGCUGUCCACGGGCCACUCAGGAGACAGCGGGCAUGCUACACCGGCAGGUUGGCACCCGCUCUGGGAGGGUGCUGCCACCUCGGGUAACAGGAGCCACCUGCGGCUUUCACAACCUGGGGCUCCACGGGGCCUGGGAGAAGUGACGAGUGUGGCGUGGCCAUGAGUGACAGACUCUGGCCUUCUCCAGUCCCUCGGGAGCCGAGCUGAAGGGGGUGGGUGCCUCCUGUGAGCUGCUGUAUGAGGGAGCCCCGGAGAGGACAGGGAGGUGCAGUGAUCUGCCGUGGGACCCGAGAGGUGGCCUUAUCCCUCCUCGCCUCCAUUGGGCAUUUGUCCGACUCCCAUUGCCUCCCCUAUGGCCUUCUGAGGGUCCCAGCCCACUAGCAACAGCAGGGGAUCCUGGCUCGUGAGCCUCUGCACCCCCCACUCAUGGGCCCCCACUCAUCAGGGUGUGGGGCAAAGGUUCCCCAAGACUUGCCAUGCUUAUGUGGCAUUACCUGGUUGUGCAAGGCCCAGGCACACCCGUGUCUGGGCGAGAAUCUGGAAGGCUGCCAGCCAAGGUGCCAGCCCGGGCCUGGGAACCAGGCUGAGAAGCCUGCAGGUGCGGGUGGAGCCGCCUCCAGCCCGGCCCACCUAGGAGAGGCCCCAGCUGCACAGUGGAUGCCAAAGACAAGCUCUUGGGGUCACACUUUUGCCCAAUAUCUACAGGGCACAUGCCCUCAGGCUGCUCUCUCCUGAGCCCCCAGCCCAGGGCCCAAUGGACAAACGGAUGGGAAUCCUCAUGUGGGCAGUUAGGGAGGCACCGAGGUGGUGGGGGCCCCGGGGGAGGCAGCCCCCACAGCUCCUUCUGCCCAGUAGGGGGGUUUCAGGGACUGUGAGCAGGAGGGAAGGCCAUGGCCAGCCAGGCCCAGUGUCGCCAGGUGGGCCUGAGCCUGGCACGUGCCCUUGCCCCACUGGACUGCUCACCGUUUGGACAAGGAACUGGCCGGGGGUCCAAACACCUGAUGUCAUUCCCAGACGGGCUUCUGACAAAGCAUGCGGCUGCCCACUGGCCUUAGAGAGCCACACCCACUGGACCCGGGCCUGCCCAUCACACACCUGCCCACAGCAGGGCCAGCCCCCACCCGCCC
ensembl:lncRNA